rnacentral:rRNA from 1 species
CACCGGCGGCUCGAGUGGUAACCGUUAUUAUUGGGUCUAAACGGUCUGUAGCCGGCCGGAUAAGUCUCUUGAGAAAUCUGGCAGCUUAACUGUCAGGCUUUCAGGAGAUACUGUCUGGCUCGAGGCCGGGAGAGGUGAGAGGUACUUCAGGGGUAGGGGUGAAAUCUUGUAAUCCUUGAAGGACCACCAGUGGCGAAGGCGUCUCACCAGAACGGACCUGACGGCAAGGGACGAAAGCUAGGGGCACGAACCGGAUUAGAUACCCUGGUAGUCCCUGAGCGGG